rnacentral:rRNA from 1 species
UACGGGGGGGGCAAGCGUUGUUCGGAAUUACUGGGCGUAAAGGGCUCGUAGGCGGCCAACUAAGUCAGACGUGAAAUCCCUCGGCUUAACCGGGGAACUGCAUCUGAUACUGGAUGGCUUGAGAUUGGGAGAGGGAUGCGGAAUUUCAGGUGUAGCGGUGAAAUGCGCAGAUAUCGUAAGGAAGACCAGUGGCGAAGGCGACUCACUGGACAUGUAUUGACGCUGAGGUACGAAAGCGUGGGGAGCAAACAGG